UACGUAGGGUGCGAGCGUUGUCCGGAAUUAUUGGGCGUAAAGAGCUCGUAUGCGGUGUGUCACGUCGUUCGUGAAAACCUGCAGCUUAACUGUGGGCGUGCGGUCGAUACGGGCAUCACUGGAGUUCGGCAGGGGAGACUGGAAUUCCUGGUGUAGCGGUGAAAUGCGCAGAUGUCAGGAGGAACACCGGUGGCGAAGGCGGCAUCCUGGACCAACACUGACACUGAGGAGCGAAAGCCAGGGGAGCAAACGGG
rnacentral:rRNA from 1 species